UACGUAGGGGGGCAAGCGUUGUCCGGAUUUAUUGGGCGUAAAGAGCGUGUAGGCGGCCGCACAGGUCCGUUGUGAAAACUGGAGGCUUAACCUUCAGACGUCGAUGGAAACCGUGCGGCUAGAGUCCGGAAGAGGAGAAUGGAAUUCCUGGUGUAGCGGUGAAAUGCGCAGAUAUCAGGAAGAACACCCGUGGCUAAGGCGGUUCUCUAGUACGGUACUGACGCUGAGACGCGAAAGCGUGGGGAGCGAACAGG
rnacentral:rRNA from 1 species